CUGGGGGUAAGGUGGCCUGGGCUUACAGGUCCCGCCCCCUAGCUUUCAUUGUAUGUCGUCACACCCAGAACAGAACCAGGAAGUCGGAGGUGAUUGUGUUGCAGUUUAGCAAGCCUGAUUUAAGUCAGCGGGUACGGGCAUUCACCUGUUGUGGAAGUGAUUGUUCCUCCCAACAAACUGGCAGUCUUCCUGUAGAACUGAUUGAGCUUUCAGCUUCCUGGAACCUGGCUUAAAUGCCCUUCUGGUGAGACUUGGUGCCACAUUGCACGAUUGGGGUGGCGCGACGUGUGCUAGCUUCCUGAGGUGCUGCAACGCAAAGAGCAUUAUCGGCGGGCGCUGCUGUUUUGUUUUAGACUGUUUUAUUCUGUUUUA